rnacentral:lncRNA from 1 species
GAGUUGGUGGCGGCGGAGUCGGUGGCGGAGGAACGGGACGAGGAGGAGAGAGGGAAGGGCGAGGAGGAGGAGAGGCGAGAGUGGAGGACGGCGAGGGAGAGGAGCAGGAGCAGCGCCGCGGCGACGGCGCAAAGCUGCGGGCCGAGGCCGGAGCGACGCCGCGCCGGGUGCGAGUGGGAGCGCGGCAGCAUGUCGCGGUAGGAGGGACCCUCUCCCCUCUCUUCCCCUGCAACCGCAAGGCUCCGCUGCGCGCGCCUGUAGCUGCGUUUUCUUCGUGUUUAAACCAUGCCCGGUGACUCUAGCUAGUCGGACUGUCACAGUCGCGUGGCCUCACCAACCUUUGGCUACCAACUAAUCCUCUUUGGACAGGGAGCUGACCGUAUGAACAGGGUAAGAGCAUCUCUACUAGAGCCCUCAAACCCUCAAACCUUAAAAAAUAACCGUUUUUUACAGUUUUCGUCGAAAAAACGGCGUAAACUAGUACUCUUAAACCCUUAAACCCGUAAAAAAAAAUAGAGGUCCAACCCUCAAACGCCUUCCCAACCUGUAGAAGUGAGGGUUGGAAGGAAAAACUCCCCCCAACCCGCACUCCUCUUCCCAGAUCGCGCGGGAGGGAAUUCCCCCCGCCUCCCGAGCUCCUCCCGCCGCCUCCUCCCGCCGCCGCGCCCCCGCCCGCCGCCGCGCCUGCCCCGCCCGCCGCCUCCGUCGAUGNNNNNNNNNNNNNNNNNNNNNNNNNNNNNNNNNNNNNNNNNNNNNNNNNNNNNNNNNNNNNNNNNNNNNNNNNNNNNNNNNNNNNNNNNNNNNNNNNNNNUAAGGAAAUGAUACUUGACAUUAGAAAAGCUUUAGCAGAUUAACUACACGAUCUUGUGCUAUGCUUAGGAUUGGGUCUUGUCCAUCACAUCAUUCUCCUAAUGAUGUGAUCCUGUUAUCAAUGCCAUCCAAUGUCCAUGAUCAGGAAACCAUGACCAUCUAUUGAUUAACGAGCUAGCCAACUAGAGGCUCACUAGGGACAUGUUGUGGUCUAUGUAUUCACACAUGUAUUACGACCUCCGGUUAAUACAAUUAUAACAUGAAAAAUAGACAAUUAUCAUGAACAAGGAAAUAUAAUGAUAACCAAUUUAUUAUUGCCUCUAGGGCAUAUUUCCAACAGUCUCCCACUUGCACUAGAGUCAAUAAUCUAGUUCACAUGACUAUGUGAUUCCAAUGAAUCCAACAUCCAUACAGUUUUGGGGUUUGAUCAUAUCUUGCUUGUGAGAUAGGUUUUAGUCAACGGGUCUGAACCUUUCAGAUCCGUGUGUGCUUUACAAAUAUCUAUGUCUUUCUAUAGAUACUGCUACCAUGCACCAUUUGGAACCAUUCCAAAUGAUUGCUCCACUAUACGAAUCCGAUUUACUACUCAUAAUUAUCUGGAUUAGUGUCAAAGCUUGCACCAACGUAACCCUUUACGACAAACUCUUUAAUCACCUCCAUAAUCGAGAAAAAUUUCUUAGUCCAUUAGUUUACUAAGGACAACUUUGACCGCUGUCCAGUGAUCCAUUCCUGGAUCACUCUUGUACCCCUUGACAGACUCAUGACAAGGCACACUUCAGGUGCGGUACACAACAUAGCAUACUAUAGAGCCUAUGGCUAAUGCAUAGGGGACGACCUUCUUCCUUUCUCUUUCUUCUGCCAUGGUCGGGUUUUGAGUAUUUACUCAAAUUCACACCUUACAAACAGCCAAGAACUCCUUAUUUGCCGAUCUAUUUUGAACUCCUUCAAAAACUUGCCAAGACAUGCAUUUCAUUGAAAGUUUUAUCAAGCAUCUUGAUCUAUCUCUAUAGAUCUUGAUGCUCAAUGUUCAAGUAGCUCAAUCCAGGUUUCCUCCGAAAAUACUUUUUCAAACAACCCUAUAUGCUUUUCAGAAAUUCUACAUCAUUUCUGAUCAACAAUAUGUCAACCACAUAUACUCAUCAGAAAUUCUAUAGUGCUCCCACUCACUUCCUUGGAAAUACAAGUUUCUUACAAACUUUCUAUAAACUCAAAAGCUUUGAUCAUCACAUCAAAGCGCAUAUCCAACUCUGAGAUGCUUACUCCAGUCCUUAAAAGGAUCGCUAGAGCUUGCAUACUUGUUAGCAUCCUUAGGAUCGACAAGACCUUCUGGUUGUAUCACAUACAACCUUUCCUCAAGGAAAUCGUCAAGGAAACAAUGUUUUGAUAUCCAUCUGCAAGAUGCAGCAACUGCUAACAUAAUUCCAACGGACUUUUAGCAUCACUACAAGUGAGGAAGUCUCAUCGCAGUCAACUCCCCUCAACUUGUUGGAAACCUCUUUGCAACAAGUCGAGCUUUCUUAAAUGGGGACUUUCACCAUCAUUGUGUGUCUUCUUUCGAAGAUCCAUUUUUGUACUUAAUAGUCUUACAACCAUAAAGUAGUUCUUCAAAAGUCCACACUUUGUUUUCAUACAUGGAUCCUCUCUCGGAUUUCUUGGCCUCCAGCCAUUUGUGAGAAUCCGGGACCACCAUCGCUUCUCCAUAGCUCGUAGGUUCAUUGUUGUCCAACAACAUGACCUCCAAGACAGGAUUACCGCACCAUGUGUAGUAGCGCGUAUCCUUGUCAACCUACGAGGUUUGGUAGUAACUUGAUCCGAAGCUUCAUGAUCACCAUCAUUGGCUUUCACUUCAACUGGUGUAGGCACCACAGGGACAACUUCAUGCACCCUUCUACUCUAUGGUUGAAGUCUUGGUUCAAUAACCUCAUCAAGUUCCUCCAUCCUCCCACUCAAUUCUUUCGAGAGAAACUUUUCCUCAAGAAAGGACUAGUUUUAGAAACAAAUACUUUGCUUCCGGAUCUGAGAUAGGAGGUAUACCCAACUGUUUUGGGUGUCCUAUGAAGAUGCAUUUAUCCGAUUUGGGUUCGAGCUUAUGAGGCUGAAACGUUUUUCACAUAAGCGUCACAGCCCCAAACUUUUAAGAAAUGCAAAUUAGGUUUCUCCAAACCAUAGUUCAAAAGUUGUCAUCUCAACGGAAUUACGUGUUGCCCUAUUUAAAGUGAAUGCGGUUGUCUAUAAUGCUUAACCCAAAAACAAUAGUGAUAAUUCAAUAAGAGACAUCAUAUAAUGCACCAUAUCCAAUAUGGCGCGGUUAUGAUGUUCGGAUACACCAUCCCACCAUGGUGUUCCAGGUGGCAUUAGUUGUGAAACAAUUUCCACAUUGUCUUAACUGUGUACCAAACUCGCAACUCAGAUAUUCAUCUCUAUGAUCAUAUCGUAGAUAUUUUAUCCUCUUGUCACAACGAUCUUCACUCUGAAAUAAUUUGAACUUUUCAAUAUUUCAGACUUGUGAUUCAUCAAGCAAAUACUCGUGUAUCUACUCAAAUCGUCAGUGAAGUAAGAACAUAACGAUAUCCACUGCGUGCCUCAACACUCAUUGGAUUGCACACAUCAAAAUGUAUUACUUCCAACAAGUUACUUUCUUGUUCCAUCUCACUGGAAAAAUGAGGCCUUCAGUCAUCUUGCCCAUGUGGUAUGAUUUGCAUGCCUCAAGUGAUUCAAAAUCAAGUGAGUUCAAAUGAUCCAUCUGCAUGGAGUUUCUUCAUGCGUUUAUACCAAUAGACAUGAUUUGCAUGUCUCAAACGUUUCAAAAAAUGAGUGAGUAUAAAGAUCCAUCAGCACGGAGCUCCUUCAUGCAUUUUAUACCAAUAUAACUCAAGCGGCAGUGCCACAAGUAAGUGGUACAAUCAUUACUACUUUGUAUCUUUUGGCAUCAAUAUUAUGAAUAUGUGUACCGCUACGAUCAAGAUUCAAUAAACCAUUGAAGGUAUUUAUUCAAGCAAAUAGAAUAACCAUUAUUCUCUUUAAAUGAAUAAUUCUAUUGCAAUAAACACGAUAUAAUCAUGUUCAUGCUCAACGCAAACACCAAAGAACAAUUAUUUAGGUUUAACACUAGUCCCGAUGGUAGAGGGAGCGUGCGAUGUUUGAUCACAUCAACCUUGGAAACACUUCCAACACAUAUCGUCACCUCGCCUUUAGCUAGUCUCCGUUUAUUCCAUAGCUUUUAUUUCGAGUUACUAACACUUAGCAACCGAACCGGUAUCUAAUACCCUCGUGCUAGUAGGAGUACUAGUAAGGUACACAUCAAUAUUAUGUAUAUCCAAUAUAGUUCUCUCGACUUUGCCAGCCUUCUCAUCUACCAAGUAUCUAGGGUAGUUCCUCUUCAGUGACUGUUCCCCUCAUUACAGAAGCACUUACUCUCGGGUUUGGGUUCAACCUUGGGUCUCUUCACUAGAGCAGCAACUGGUUUGCCAUUUCAUGAAGUAUCCCUUUUUUCCUUUGCCCUUCUUGAAACUAGUGGUUUUACUAACCAUCAACAAUUGAUGCUCCUUUUUUGAUUUCUACAUUCGCGGUGUCAAACAUCGCGAAUAGCUCAAGGGUCAUCAUAUCUAUCCCUCAUAUGUUAUAAUUCAUCGCGAAGCUCUAGUAGCUUGGUGGCAGUGACUUUGGAGAACCAUCACUAUCUCAUCUGGAAGAUUAACUCCCACUCGAUUCAAGCGAUUGUAGCACUCAGACAAUCUGAGCACGUGCUCAAAGAUUGAGCUUUUAUCCCUUAAUUUAUAGACAAAGAGUCUUGUCGGAGGUCUCAUACCUCUCAACAAGGGCACGAGCAUGAAAUCCCAAUUUCAUCUCUUGGAACAUCUCAUAUGUUCCGUGACGUUCAAAACAUCUUUGCGCCUCAAUUCUAAGUCAUUAAGCAUUACGCACUGAACUAUCACAUAGUCAUAAAAACGUGUAUGUCAGAUGUUCGCAACAUCCACAAAUGAUGCUCAAGGUUGAGCACACCGAGCGGUGCAUUAAGGACAUAAUCCUUCUGCGCAGCAAUGAGGACAAUCCUUAGUUUACGGACCCAGUCCGUAUAAUUGCUACUAUCAUCUUUCAACUAAAUUUUCUCUAGGAACAUAUCAAAAACAAUAGAGCUACAACACAAGCUACAAUAUAAUUUGCAAAGACCUUUUGACUAUGUUCAUGAUAAUUGAGUGUAGCUAAUCGUAUUACUAAUAAUUCCCACUCAAAUAGACAUCCCUCUAGUCAUUCGAGUGGUGCAUGAUCCAAAUCCACUAUCUCAAGUCCGAUCAUCACGUGACUUGAGUAUAGUAUCAGUGGUGAACAUCUCCAUGUUGAUCAUAUCAACUAUAUGAUUCAUGCUCGACCUUUCGGUCUCUUGUGUUCCGAGGCCAUGUAUGUACAUGCUAGGCUCGUCAAGUUUAACCCGAGUGUUUCGWCAUGUGCAACUGUUUUGUCACCCGUUGUAUGUGAACGUUGAGUCUAUCACACCCGAUCAUCAUGUGGUGUGUCGAAACGAAGAACUGUCGCAACGGUGCACAGUCGGGGAGAACACAAUUUCAUCUUGAAAUUUUAGUGAGGGGUCACCUUAUAAUGCUACUGUCAUUCUAAGCAAAAUAAGGUGCAUAAAAGGAUUAACAGCACAUGCAAAUCAUAAGUGACAUGAUAUGGCCAUGAACUUGAGCUUCUUGAUCUCCAUCACCAAAGCACCGGCAUGAUCUCCAUCAUCACUAGCGUUGCACCAUGAUCUCCAUCAUCGUGUUGUCAUAGAGGUUGUCGCGCUGUCUAUACUAUUACUACUAAAGCUACUGCCUAGCGAUAUAGUAAGAGCNNNNNNNNNNNNNNNNNNNNNNNNNNNNNNNNNNNNNNNNNNNNNNNNNNNNNNNNNNNNNNNNNNNNNNNNNNNNNNNNNNNNNNNNNNNNNNNNNNNNUUCCUCCUCAUCCUCAUGUGGACCUUUGAACAUGGAGGUUGGCCUCCCAACCAUAUGAAUGAUUCUAUUCGUUCCUCUCUCUCUCCCUCCAUCCCUAUCUCUUCUUUGUUGGCUUCUUAGCCAUGGACUUCGUCCUCUUUGAUCCACUAGGGUUCUGCAAAGUGGGAUACAUACCCCUCUUUGCAGCAACUGAUUCAGGGUUCUUUCUUGCAACAACUCUUUAUUUCCUUUUUGGUUGUUUUGGAGGUGACCUCAUCAGGUAUAAAAUCAGCAUCCUCCUCAUCAGAAUUCUUUUGCUUUCUUUCCCUGCGAGUUAACUUGGGCAAGUUAUGAGAACUAGGGGUGUGUGGGUCUUCUGAAAUUGCCUUAGGACUAGUGCCUACAUCCAAGUCUGAACUUGGAUCUUGAAACCUGUUCUGGCUGUCAUCUGAAACUGACAUUCUGACCACUGACUAUAUGAAUUAGAUAUGGAGGGGUGGAGUAGAUGAGCAUCACCAAAUCCAAAUAUUUUGCAAAGUUUUGAACUCAAAAUGUUAGUUCUAGGUUUUCACAAUAUGCAAGUCGCUUCCACCAAGUUUCAGAUUUCGGAAAUUCCGAGGCAACAACAGUAACUUGGUCACACCAUUUCGGUUUCACCGAGAUGUGAUUCGGUCUAUCUGAAGUCGCUCACAGAAACCCUAUAUUACACUUUGGUGACAUCGAUAGGAAGCUUUUGGUUUCACCAAGAAAUCGUUUGUGCUAUGGUUGAAACCACAUCGAUGGCUCCAAAGAGUUUUGACUCAGAGGGUCCGAGAUAGCUUAUCGCGAAGACUUAACCAUAAAUGUUUCCAUUCAGUCUAUUCUAACGGAAAUUUUGAGAGGAUAUAUUCAUGCAUAGUGUUGCAAGAUAUGAGGCACAACCUAUUGCGUAAGAAUAGGAAGAAGAAUGCAGUAGGGAUUGAGGCUUUACACUAACUUGGUCAAGCCUCUCUAUGACAGCAACGGCGGGGUUGAUUUCCGUUGACACCGAAGAAAUCCUGUGCGAGGGCAUGCUGGAGACAACGGUGAGCAUCCAUACACAAGGGUGGUGGUAGCAAUGGGGUGCAGGAGAUGGUGAUUUCAAGAAAUUUUCAAAGUCCAUCACGCGGAUAUAUAUACCCAUGUGAUAUUGGUGACACCGACAAAGAAACAUCGGUGGUUGAUAACCCACAAGUAUAGGGGAUAAUUUGUAGCCUUUUUCGAUAAGUAAGAGUGUCAAACCCAAGAAGGAGCUAAAGGUAUAAUUAAUAUUCUCUCAAGUUCUAUCGACCACCGAUACAACUCUACGCACAACAACGUUCACUAUACCUAGUACUAGAAAUAAACUACUUUGCGGGAAGAAAACUAGAAUAUAGCAGGAAAUAAAACAUACAACUCAAACCAAUCACGAUCAUCAAUCAACCCAUAGGACAAAAUAAAUCUACUCAAACUUCAUAUGAUAGCCACACAUCAUUGGGUAAUAAUAUAUAGCAUUAAGCACCAUUGUUUAAGUAGAUUAUUAUAGCAGGGAAAAGAGGUGUUACACCACUCCAUAGAGGGGAUAGAGUUGGUGGCGAUGGUGGCAAAGUUGUUGGUGUAGAUUGUUGUCACAAUCAUUGUCCCGACGGCGUUUUCGGCACCGACCGGGGAGACGGGGGAGGAGAGCCCCCCUCUUACUUCUUCGUUCCUUGGUCUCGCCCUAGNNNNNNNNNNNNNNNNNNNNNNNNNNNNNNNNNNNNNNNNNNNNNNNNNNNNNNNNNNNNNNNNNNNNNNNNNNNNNNNNNNNNNNNNNNNNNNNNNNNNGUAUUAUACUCUUUUUAUCUAUACUAUUAACAUCCGCUGGAUUAGUUGUACAAGCAUAAAAACAUGCCCUCACCUCUUAGAUUACUGCUCCCCAGCUCUGUUAGCACUGGCACAUCAAGUGGUAUCUCAGCUAACUAUGGGUGGAUGAUACAGAUCAGACCUAGUCUGAAUUGAUUGACUUUCUUAGAUAUCACAAAUGAUGCACUCUGCCAUGGUCAGGCUUUGAGUCUUACUCAAAUUCACAGCUUACAACACAGCCAAGAACUCCGUCUUCGCCGAUCUAUUUUGAACUCCUUCAAAAACUUGUCAUGGCAUGCAUUUCAUUGAAAGUUUUAUCAAGCGUCUUGAUCUAUCUCUAUAGAUCUUGAUGCUCAAUGUUCAAAUAGCUCAAUCCAGGUUUUCCUCUGAAAACACUUUUUCAAACAUCCCUAUAUGCUUUCCAUAAAUUCUACAUCAUUUCCGAUCAACAAUAUGUCAACCACAUAUACUCAUGAGAAAUUCUAUAGUGUUCCCACUCACUUCCUUGGAAAUACAAGUUUCUCACAAACUUUGUAUAAACCCAAAAGCUUUGAUCAUCUCAUCAAAGCGCCUAUUCCAACUCCGAGAUGCUUACUCCAGUCCUUAGAAGGAUCGCUAGAGCUUGAAUCCUUGUUAGCAUCUUUAGGAUUGACAAAACCUUCUCGUUGUAUCACAUACAACCUUUCCUCAACGAAACCGUCGAGGAAACAAUGUUUUGACAUCCAUCUGCAAGAUGCAGCAACUACUAACAUAAUUCCAACAGACUUUUAGCAUCGCUAUGAGUAAGAAAGUCUCAUCAUAGUCAACUCCUUGAACUUGUCGUAAACCUCUUUGCAACAAGUCGAGCUUUCUUAAAUGAUGACAUUCGCCAUCAUUGCAUGUCUUCCUUUUUUUAAAGAUCCAUAUGUACUUCACUGUCUUACGAUCAUCAAGUAGUUCUUCCAAAGUCCACACUUUGUUUUCAUACAUGGAUCUUCUCUCGGAUUUCAUGGCAACCAUCAUUUGUUGGAAUCCGGGCCCACCAUCGCUUCUCCAUAGCUCGUAGGUUCUUUGUUGUCCAGCAACAUGGCCUCCAAGACAGGAUUACUGCACCAUUUUGUAGUAGCGUGUAUCCUUGUCGUCCUACGAGGUUUGGUAGUAACUUGAACUGAAGCUUCAUGACCACCAUCAUUGGCUUCCACUUCAACUGGUGUGGGCACCACAUGAACAACUUCCCGCGCCAUUUCACUCUCUGGUUGAAGUGUUGGUUCAAUAACCUCAUCAAGUUCCACCGUCCUCCCACUCAAUUCUUUCGAGAGAAACUAUAUCUCGAGAAAGGACCCGUUUUGUGAAACAAACAUUUUGCUUUCAGAUCUGAAAUAGGAGGUAUAUCCAACUAUUUUGGGUAUCUUAUGAAUAUGCAUUUAUCCGCUUUGGGUUUGAUCUUAUCAGGCCGAAGCCUUUGGACAUAAGCAUCGUAGCCCCAAACUUUUAAGAAACGAUAGCUUGGGUUUCCCCAAACCAUAGUUCAUAUGGUGUCUUCUCAAUGGAACUAUGUGGUGCCCUAUUUAAAGUGAAUGUUGUUGUCUCCAAUGCAUAACCCCAAAACGAUAGUGGUAAUUCGAUAAGAGACAUCAUAAUAUGCACCAUAUCUAAUAGGGUGCGGCUACGACGUUCGAACACACCAUCACACUAUGGUGUCCCAGGCGGCAUUAGGUGUGAAACAAUUUUCACAUUGUCUAAAUUGUAUACCAAACUCGCAACUGAGAUAUUUACCUCCACGAUCACAUCGUAGACAUAUUAUCCUCUUGUCACGACGAUCUUCAACUUCACUCUGAAAUUACUUGAACCUUUCAAUAAUUUAGACUUGUGUUUCAUCAAGUAAAUAUACCAGUACCUACUCAAAUCAUUUGUGAAGUAAGAACAUAACGAUAUCCACUGCGUGCCUCAACACUCGUUGGACUGGAUACAUCAAAAUGCAUUACUUCCAACAAGUUACUUUCUUGUUCCAUCUCAAUGGAAAACGAGGCCUUCAGUCAUCUUGCCCAUGUGGCAUGAUUUGCAUGUCUCAAGUGAUUCAAAAUCAAGUGAGUCCAAACGAUCCACCUGCAUGGAGUUUAUUCAUGCAUUUUACACCAAUAGGCAUGGUUUGUAUGUCUCAAAUGAUUCAAAAAAUGAGUGAGUCCAAAGAUCCAUCGGUAUGGAGCUUCUUCAUAGGUUUUAUACCAAUAUGACUCAAGCGUCAGUGGACAAGUAAGUGGUACUACCAUUACUACUUUGCAUCUUUUGGCCACAAAUAUUAUGAACAUGUGUAUCACUACGAUCAAGAUUCAAUGAACCGUUGACAUUCGUGCAUGACCAUUGAAGGUAUUAUUCAUGUAAAUAGAAUAACUUUUAUUCUCUUACUUAAAUGAAUAACCCUAUUGCAAUAAACACAAUCCAAUCAUGUUCAUGCUCAACGCAAAUACCAAAUAAUAUUUAUUUAGGUUCAAYACUAUUCUCGAAAGUAGAGGGAGCGUGCAAUGGUGAUCACAUCAUCCUUGGAAACACUUCCAACACACAUCGUCACCUCGCCUUUAGCUAGUCUCCGCUUAUUCCGUAGCUUUUAUUUCGAGCUACUAACACUUAGCAACCGAACCGGUAUCUAAUACCCCGGUGCUACUAGGAGUACUAGUAAAGUACACAUUAAUAUCAUGUAUAUCCAAUAUACUUGUGUCGACUUUGCCAACCUUCUCAUCUACCAAGUAACUAGGGUAGUUUCGCUUCAGUGACUGUUCCCCUCAUAAUAGAAGCACUUAGUCUCGGGUCUAGGUUCAACCUUGGGUUUCUUUACAUGAGUGGCAACUCGUUUGCCAUUUCAUGAAGUAUCCCUUUGAACCCUUACGCUUCUCGAAACUAGUGGUUGUACUAGCCAUCAACACUUGAUGCUCCUACUUGAUUUCUACCUUCGGGGUGUCAAACAUCGUGAAUAGCUCAAGGAUCAUCAUCUCUAUCCCUGAUAUGUGAUAGUUCAUCACAAAGCUCUGUAGCUCGGUGGAAGUGACUUUGGAGAACUAUGUCAAUCACUAUCUUAUCUGGAAGAUCAAGUCCCACUCGAUUCAAGUGAUUGUAGUACCCAGCAAUCUGAGCACAUGCUCAAUGAUUGAGAUUUUCUCCCUUACUUUGUAGGCAAAGAAUCUUGUUGGAGGUCUUAUACCUCUCAACAUGGGCACGAGCCUGAAAUCCCAAUUCCAUAUUUUGGAACAUCUCUUAUGUCCCGUGAUGUUCGAAACAUCUUUGGUGCCUCAAUUCUAAACCGUUUAAGCAUUACGCACUCAAUUAUCAUGUAAUCAUCAAAACAUUUAUGCCAGAUGUUCGCAACAUCUACAAACGACGCUCGGGGUUUAGCACACCGAGUGGUGCAUUAAGGAAUAAGCCUUUUAUGAAGCAAUGAGAACAAUCCUCAGUUUAUGGACCUAGUCCACAUAAUUGCUACUAUCAUCUUUCAACUAAGUUUUCUCUAGGAACAUAUCAAAAAAAAGUAGAGCUACAGCGCAAGCUAUAUCAUACUUUGUAAAGUCAUUUUGACUAUGUUCAUGAUAAUGAGUUCAAUUAAUCAUAUUACUUAAGAACUCCCACUCAAAUUUACAUCCUUCUAGUCAUUCGAGUGUCACAUGAUCCAAAUUCACUAACUCAAGUCCGAUCAUCACGUGAGUUGAGUUUAGCUUCAAUGGUGAACAUCUCCAUGUUGAUCAUAUCCAUUAUAUGAUUCAUGCUCGACCUUUCUAUCUCUUGUGUUCCGAGGCCAUGUCUGUACAUGCUAGGCUCGUCAAGUUUAACGCGAGUGUUCCGCGUGUGCAACUGUUUUGCACCCUUUGUAUGUGAACGUAGAGUUUAUCACACCCGAUCAUCACGUGGUGUCUCGAAACAACGAACUGUCGCAACGGUGCACAGUCGGGGAGAACACAAUUCCAUCUUGAAAUUUAAGUGAGGGAUCACCUUAUAAUGCUACCAUCGUCCUAAGCAAAAUAAGGUGCAUAAAAGGAUUAACAUCACAUGCAAAUCAUAAGUGACAUGAUAUGGCCAUGAACUUGUGAUUGUUGAUCUCCAUCACAAAAGCAGCGGUAUGAUCCGUGUCGCAUUUCGUGCUCCGCAAAACCCUAAAGAUUUGAACUCAGGGGCGUGUACGAAGGUUUCUCGAGAACUCGCCUCACCUAGCUCGCUACUCGCUGAGAACGACAAAGAACUCACUCGACAGUGAGGAAGACAGAGGGCACGAUAGUUUACCCAGGUUCAGGCCGCUGUGAAGCGUAAUACCCUACCCCUGCUUUGGUGGAUUGCCUCUCGUGGAGGGACGUAGAUGAACUAGUACAAUGUUCGAGUGCCUCCGGAGGCUCGGUGGCCUUUGAGUGGUAGGAGUGAGCGAAUGAAAAUGGAUCUCGCCCUGCUACAAAGUACCAUAUCUCCUAUAUACAGCGGCGUCCCUGGUCCUCUUCCCUUAUCGUUUUUUGGCAGGAAGGGAUCCCACAUCGACCAAUUUUAAAGGGGGACACUGGAACAUGAUCCCCCUGCCCAAAGGUGGUCUUCUCCUGCAAAGCAGCUGCUAGCGCUGCAUGAGCGGGCCCAUGGGUGACGUUCGUCCUGCUGGCGGGCRGUKGAGGCCUUGUUGCACCGGAAUGGAAACCUUUGGAAGAWGCCUUGGGAACCCGCGUACGUCCUUGCUCCCUUUGCACUAAAGGGGAAACUGCACCUUCCGGCAGUCUGCUGCUUCCGUGUCCUUCCUCUCCGUCAUCCUCGACUCCUGAGGCCGGGCCUUACCUCGGAGUGUAUGUCGUUCCGGAAUGGUCCUGAGGGAGCCCUCCAAAGGUCUUGAUGUUGUUCUUCCUCGCGAGGGACUUGCCUUGAGUGGUGUCAUGCCUGAUUUUGUCUGGUUGAUGAAGUGGGCCAGCCCUGGGCCAUAGGCAGGCAGGUCUGGGUACCCCCAUUUCCAGAACACCGACAAUCUCCAUCGUCACCGGCGUCACACCAUGAUCUCCAUCAUUGUGCUGCCAUCGAGGUUGUCGCGCUAACCAUGUUGUUACUACUAAAGCUACUACCUAGCGAUAAAGCAAGAGCGUUUGCAAGUGACAAAUAAUUUAAAGACAACCCUAUNNNNNNNNNNNNNNNNNNNNNNNNNNNNNNNNNNNNNNNNNNNNNNNNNNNNNNNNNNNNNNNNNNNNNNNNNNNNNNNNNNNNNNNNNNNNNNNNNNNNCUUUGUCAAGGAUUCAGUUAAUCCCGUAUGAUGUCCUUUUCCUUCGGUAUGUUACUUGCGUGAGAUUUGAUCGUCGGUAUCUCCAUACCUAGUUCAUUCUUGUUACCGCAAGUCUCUUUACUCGUUCUGUAAUACAAGAUCUCGUGGCUAACUCCUUAGUCACAUUGCUUGCAAGGCUUUAUAGUGAUGUUGUAUUACCGAGUGGGCCCCGAGAUACCUCUCCGUCAUAUGGAGUGACAAAACCCAGUGUUGAUACAUGCCACCCCAACAGACACCUUCAGAGAUACCUAUAGAGCACCUUUAUAGUCACCCAGUUACAUUGCGACGUUUGAUACAGACAAAGUAUUCCUUCGGUGUCCGGGAGUUGCAUGAUCUCAUGGUCAUAGGAACAGAUACAUCGACAUGUAGAAAACAGUAGCAAUAAACUGACUCGAUCAUAUGCUACCUUCAUAGUUUGGGUCUUGUCCAUCACAUCAUUCUCCUAAUGAUGUGAUCCCAUUAUCAAGUGACAACACUUGUCUAUGGCUAGUUAACCAUAACCAUCUUUGAUCAACAAGCUAGUCAACUAGAUGCUUACUAGGGACAGUGUUUUGUUUAUGUAUUCGCUCAUGUAUUUGAGUUUCCAAUCAAUACAAUUAUAGCAUGGAUAAUAAACGAUUACCAUGAACAAGGAAAUAUAAUAAUAACCAAUUUAUUAUUGCCUCUAGGGCAUAUGUCCAACUGUCUCCCACUUGCACUAGAGUCAAUAAUCUAAUUCACAUCACUAUGUGAUUUUCAUGAAUCAAACACUCAUACAGUUCUGGGGUUUGAUCAUGUCUUGCUUGUGAGAGAGGAUUUAGUCAACAGGUCUGAACCUUUCAGAUCUGAGUGUGCUUUACGAAUCUCUAUGUCAUCAUGUAGGUGCUGCUACCAACGUGACAUUUGGAACUAUUCCAAAUGACCACUCCACUAUAUGAAUCCGGUUUACUUCUCAACGUCAUCCGGAUUAGUGUAGAAGCUUGCAUCGACGUAACCCUUUACGAUGAACUUAUUUUAUCACCCCUAUAAUAGAGAAAAAAAAUCCUUAGUCCACUAGUUAUUAAGGAUAACUUUUUACCGUUGUCCAGUAAUCCACUCCUGGAUUACUUUCGUACCCCUUGACAGAUUCAUGGCAAGGCACACAGGGGAUAGGUACACAACAUAGCAUACGGCUAAUGCAUAGGGGACGACCUUUGUCCUUUCUCUUUCUUCUGCCAUGGUCAGGCUUUGAGUCUUACUCAAAUUCACAGCUUACAACACAGCCAAGAACUCCGUCUUCGCCGAUCUAUUUUGAACUCCUUACAAAAACUUGUCAUGGCAUGCAUUUCAUUUAGAAAAGUUUUAUCAAAGUCGUUCUUGAUCUAUCUNNNNNNNNNNNNNNNNNNNNNNNNNNNNNNNNNNNNNNNNNNNNNNNNNNNNNNNNNNNNNNNNNNNNNNNNNNNNNNNNNNNNNNNNNNNNNNNNNNNNAACGUUUUGGGUAUGAGAUGGGUAAGAGAGAGAGAGGGAAAGAGGGAGAUACACACAAUACAAACUAACAUUUUUUGUAGAAUAGAUUUUUAUUUGUGGCUCUCGGAAAACACACGCAAAUGACGGCUCACAAAUCAUCAUAUCUAACAUGGGUAUUAACAAGGGUUUGGACUUCUAAUUACCAUAUAAAUAUUGAAACACUUCAGGGUCUUUGAAUUCUUCGGGUCUUGAGAGUCUUCAGUUGGCGCAGCUUCAAUUCUUCAAAUGCAUGAUGAAAUCCUCUUACUUUGAAGUGGGACUCAGUUGAUCCUUCAUGUUGUCAAAGGGAAAGGGUACUGUCUAACUAUUUGACGUGAGAGAGAAUAUUUAAUGAAAUCAGAAGAGAUGACAAGUAAAGGAUGUUCUUGGAAAUAAAAGUUUGGAGAGAUGCUUUCCUAAGGGAUUUCCAGUUUCUAGGAUCACGUCCUACAGUCAACAUGCGCUCUGAUACCAUAUCUGUAGCGACCCGACUCAAAACGAGUCAAGCCUUUGUGUUCUGUGUCAUCCCUGGAUCAGUAUGCUGGCACACACAGUACAUCAAUGUAUAUAUCAAAGUGCAAUCACAUGUAAAUAACGUAAAACUGAUAUAUACCUCAAAAUCUCAACGGAAACGGUCAAGGGAGUGGAGUCCCAAUAAACACCAAUGGCACGUUGAGUGCAGACCGUAACCCUGAAUCGUACUCUUACUCGUCGAAAAAAAGAAUCUGCAACAUAAGACAUUACAGCCGUGUAGGUCGGCAUAUUGAAUAUGCCGGCAAGCCACAAAAGAGAGGGGUAAAAAUAUCAUCUAUACUAUAUGCAUAUAUGGCAAGUGGGACUCUAGUUAAAGUUUUGUGUAAAGCAAAUUUUCCCUACAACAAGAGAGAGGUAAAAGCAAAAUUUACUACAUUGUUGGUUGUUAAAGAGAAAGGUUCCACCAACCGUUUCUCAUACCCAAGUUAUCAAUAUUACCCAUAUCAAUAAGUUAAUAGUGUUGAGAAUUCGUGAUAGUUUCAGUUCCUUUGGCUCAAGUUGUCCAUGACCGUGGACACAGCUAAUCGAUUAGGUUUGAGUACUCUGCUGAGUUUUGCACACGUUCCCCCACAAGAUUUGAUCGCCUCCGUUGAAGUCCUUGCACUUCAGGGUGUUUGAGAACCGGAUGAUCAAAACAUGGUCUUUCAACGGGUUCCUCUGAGCCUCUGUCGGUGCCCAUCCAAUCCUACCAUUCUUCUACAUCUCGUAGCACCGCCCGCCCAGAGUCACCACGUUGUCCAACCAAGCCAGAGCCCAUAAUGACUUGUGGCUAUGCGGGUAAGCCUUGGGUCUUGAAAUAUCCAUCCAUCUCUUUGAGCCUGGGUGAAGCUUUCCGCAAGAUGUCAUGGCGCUUCUCCAUGCAUCCCGGGUCCUCCGCUGGUUUAACCCAGGGAGCCCAUAUGAACCAUCCUUCACCCAGAGGUAUAUUUCGUUCUGAGGUCUUGCAAGUCUUGGAGUCUUCAGGUCUUGAUUAUUAAUUUCUCACAACACUCAUGAUAAACAGUCAACCAAACCCCGUCUACUAGGAGCNNNNNNNNNNNNNNNNNNNNNNNNNNNNNNNNNNNNNNNNNNNNNNNNNNNNNNNNNNNNNNNNNNNNNNNNNNNNNNNNNNNNNNNNNNNNNNNNNNNNCCAUAGAUAGUGAUACGUCUUCAUUCUAUCUAUAAUGUUUUAUUGUUUCAUGCCAAUACAACUUUCGUAUACUUUUGGUCAACAUUUUAUUAAUAUUUUUUUUGGACUAACUUAUUGAUCCAGUGCCUAGUGCCAGAUUUUUGGGUGUUUUUUGUUUCAYAGAAAUUCCAUACCAAGCGAAGCCCAAACGAGAUAAAAAUUGACAAAGAAUUAUUUUGGAAUAUUUGUGAAUUUUGUUAGGUGGAUCAAUGCAAAUGGAGGCCCAAAGCCACCACGAUACACCAGGGCGCGCCCAGGGCUGAGGCGUGUCGGUGGUGGGUUGUGCCCUCCUCGUAAGUCGGUUGGAGCUUGCUACGGCAAUAGACAACAGCACUAGAAAUUGACACGUUGACGGAGGCUGGGCUUGCGUUGGUUUUUCCCUUGAAGAGAAAAGGGUGAUGCAGCACAGGAGCAGUAAGUAUUUCCCUCAGUUUGAGAACCAAUGUAUCGAUCCAGAAGGAGGGUCUCGUCAAGUCCAGAGUACCUGCGCAAACACAAACAAGCUUGCACCCAACGCUUCAAAGGGGUUGUCAAUCCCUUCAAGAUUGUUUGCAAAGUGAGAUCUGAAGGCGGAAAGUGCAACGAAGUAAAAAGUAUAAGGCUGAAAAUAUGAUGUGGAGUAGACCCGGGAGCCAUAGUGUUCACUAGAGGCUUCUCUCAAAAUAGCAAAUAUCACGAUGGGUGAACAAAUUACUGUCAAGCAAUUGAUAGAACCGCGCAAAGUCAUGACGAUAUCUAAGGCAAUGAUCAUACAUAUAGGCAUCACGUCCGAGAUAAGUAGACCGAUACUUUCUGCAUCUACUACUAUUAGUCCACACAUCGACCGCUAUCCAGCAUGCAUCUAGUGUAUUGAGUUCAUGACAAAAAGAGUAACGCCCUAAGCAAGAUGACAUGAUGUAGAGGGAUAAUCUCAAACCAAUGAUGAAAACCCCAUCUUUUUACCCAUGAUGGCAACAACACGAUGCGUGCCUCGCUACCCCUUCUAUCACUGGGUGAGGUCACCACACGGUAUGAACCCAAAACCAAGUACUUCUCCCAUUGCAAGAAUCAUAGAUCUAGUUGGCCAGACAAAACCCACAACUCGAAGAGAAUUACAAGGAUAUGAAAUCAUGCAUAAGAGAGAUCAGAAGAAACUCAAAUAAGAUUCAUAAAUAAUCUGAUCAUAAAUCCACAAUUCAUCGGUUCUAGACAAACAGGCCGACAAAAAGAAGAUUACAUCGGAUAGAUCUCCAUGAAGAUCAAGUUGGGAAGUAAAAUUUUGGUAAUUGAAGAUCCAAGAGAGAGAAGAAGCCAUNNNNNNNNNNNNNNNNNNNNNNNNNNNNNNNNNNNNNNNNNNNNNNNNNNNNNNNNNNNNNNNNNNNNNNNNNNNNNNNNNNNNNNNNNNNNNNNNNNNNGAGGAGUCGUCCUCGUCGAGCACGUCGAGCUCGUCGAUGCGGUCGUCGUCGGGGUUGGUAGCCGCGGCGCCCUCGGUGGCGGCAGCGGUGGUCACGGCGGCGAGGGUGAGGUCGGGGUCAAGGGCACCGGCCACAGGGUCGUCGUCGUCGUCCGCGAGGAGAGCGGUGGAGUUGGUGGCGGCGGAGUCGGUGGCGGAGGAACGGGACGAGGAGGAGAGAGGGAAGGGCGAGGAGGAGGAGAGGCGAGAGUGGAGG